rnacentral:rRNA from 1 species
UACGAGGGGGCGAGCGUUGUUCGGAAUUAUUGGGCGUAAAGAGCUCGUAGGCGGUUCAGUAAGUCGGGUGUGAAAACUCUGGGCUUAACCCAGAGCCGCCACUCGAUACUGCUGUGACUUGAGUUCGGUAGGGGAGCAGGGAAUUCCUAGUGUAGCGGUGAAAUGCGCAGAUAUUAGGAGGAACACCGGUGGCGAAGGCGCUGCUCUGGGCCGAUACUGACGCUGAGGAGCGAAAGCGUGGGUAGCAAACAGG